GCAUUUCCUAGCCCUUUCAAGACAAGCAAAAAGGGGUUUCAGAAAGUAGGUGAUGAUGAUAGAGGUAAUUUGCAUUUGUGCAAAAAUGAGUUAAAAUCGAAGGUUUCCAGAGAAUUAAAGCAAAGGGAAUUACAAGGUCAGUAUGUUAAAGCAGUUCAAAAUGAUAGGGAAAACCAUAAAGAAGGGAAACAUGUAUCGCUUGAAUGCAUUAUAGGUUUUAUUUUUGAUCAACUGGCUUAUAAUCUACAGAAAUUUAAUCAGAGU
rnacentral:misc_RNA from 1 species